rnacentral:lncRNA from 1 species
AUCUUCUUUUUCAACCACUCUAUCUUUCCAUCAGGGAUGUGUAUUGCAAAGAUUAAAUAUUAUAUAAAAUUGAUUAAAACAACUCCUAAACAAACUAGAAUACUUGUCAAGUAAUUCUGAUUAGCUUAUCCACUGAGCUUGUUUAGAUUGUAUUAUCCCUUUCCACUUUGAUGAGGGGUGAUUCAAAGUUAGGUCUCGAACAAUGAGUUUAGUAUAGGAUAAAAAAUAAGGAAUAAGCCCUGUGAAUGUAAAAAAGGGGGAGGGGGGCA